AGUCCUGCUGAGCCUCUCCUAGGCACUCACAAGCCACAGCACCCGCCACUUAGUACUUCUCACAAAUGCCCUAUGAGUUUGGUAUGAUGUGCUUGUUUUAUAGAUGUGGAAGCUGAAGCUUACGGGGCUGAAGUAUCUUGCCUCACAUCACAGGCUGCUAAGAAGCAGAGCUGGGAUUGGCAUCCAGGUUGAUCUCCCUCUAAAAGCCUCCCCUUUCACUACAACCCACAUAGACUCUCAUUCCAACCCCACUUCAAGCAUUUCUUCCCAUUAUCAGACCUGUGGGACAAGGUUUGGUUGGGAAAACACGAGGCUCUUCAGGAAGACAGACAACAGAUUGCCCAUCAUUUCAUGGACAAGGGACCGACAUGAGGCGCACCCAGAUCUCUGUGGCUUUUUCUUGGUGCCAAACAAAUGCAGAAGGAGUCACUUCUCAAAGAACACAGUGUUUUUCUUCCUCUUCUCACCUCUCCUGGGCCGGUGCCUGUGAUAAUUGGGAAGCACAGAGUCUGGUUUUUCCGGGAUUGGAACCAAUGCUGUGAAGAGUGUUCUGACAAUAAAUGUUGAUUGACAGUUGAUGGACAAUGUUCUUGAAUCAGUUUUUCCUGUGCUGGGUGUUAAGCUGAGAACUGCACUAAACAACUGCUCAACAACCUGCUUCCUGUUCAGAUAGAAUUUACUACACUCUCUCUCUGUGGGCCUCAGUCAGGCAGCCAGGCGAGAUGGUAUCUCAGACGCCUUCCAGCUCCAUCACUCAAUGUCUCUAUCAAGAAGAGAACACAGAUCUGAAAACAUUUUUCCCCCUAACACUGAGUUGGGGUUAUUAUUCACAUACAAAAACACAGGCACCAACAGAGAUAACUGGUCAGGAAAUAAGGAGCUUUGAUUCUGGUCUCAUACUCUUUGACCUAGUAAUUCUACUUCUGUGAAUUUAUCUUAAAGAAAGAAUCCAGAGGACAGAGCUGUGUGCACGAAAAGGUUUGCUUUCGCAAUAUUUGGAGUUACUGUCAAUAAAAUGAUGUCCAAUGCAAGAAUGCGAGAGACUCCCUUGGUGGCACAUGAGGCCACCGCAAGUGAUAAUUUCAAAGACACAGAAAAACAUACUUGGCAGU
rnacentral:lncRNA from 1 species